rnacentral:rRNA from 1 species
CCUACGGGAGGCAGCAGUGAGGAAUAUUGGUCAAUGGGCGCGAGACUGAACCAGCCAAGUAGCGUGAAGGAUGACUGCCCUACGGGUUGUAAACUUCUUUUAUAAAGGAAUAAAGUGAGGCACGUGUGCCUUUUUGUAUGUACUUUAUGAAUAAGGAUCGGCUAACUCGGUGCCAGCAGCCGCGGUAAUACGGAGGAUCCGAGCGUUAUCCGGAUUUAUUGGGUUUAAAGGGAGCGUAGAUGGGUUGUUAAGUCAGUUGUGAAAGUUUGCGGCUCAACCGUAAAAUUGCAAUUGAUACUGGCAGUCUUGAGUACAGUUGAGGUAGGCGGAAUUCGUGGUGUAGCGGUGAAAUGCUUAGAUAUCACGAAGAACUCCGAUUGCGAAGGCAGCUUACUAAACUGCCACUGACAUUGAUGCUCGAAAGUGUGGGUAUCAAACAGGAUUAGAUACCCCAGUAGUC